rnacentral:rRNA from 1 species
AUUGAACGCUGGCGGCAGGCCUAACACAUGCAAGUCGAGCGAGCGGCGGACGGGUGAGUAAUGUCUGGGAAACUGCCUGAUGGAGGGGGAUAACUAUGGGAAACGGUAGCUAAUACCGCAUACUAUCGGUGGUGCCCAGAUGGGAUUAGAUCGAAGGUGGGGUAAUGGCUCACCUAGGCGACGAUCCCUAGCUGGUCUGAGAGGAUGACAAGCCAAACUGGAACUGAGACACGGCCCAGACUCCUACGGGAGGCAGCAGUGGGGAAUAUUGCGCAAUGGGCGCAAGCCUGAUGCAGCCAUGCCGCGUGUGUGAAGAAGGCCUUCGGGUUUGAAAGCCCUUUCGGCAGGGAGGCGUUACCCGCAGAAGAAGCACCGGCUAACUCCGUGCCAGCAGCCGCGGUAAUAC